GUGUCAGCAGCCGCGGUAAUACGGAGGGUGCAAGCGUUAUCCGGAUUCACUGGGUUUAAAGGGUGCGUAGGUGGGUAGGUAAGUCAGUGGUGAAAUCCCCGAGCUUAACUUGGGAACUGCCGUUGAUACUAUCUAUCUUGAAUAUCGAGUAGGUAAGCGGAAUAUGUCAUGUAGCGGUGAAAUGCUUAGAUAUGACAUAGAACACCAAUUGCGAAGGCAGCUUACUUCAAGAUUAUUGACACUGAGGCACGAAAGCGUGGGGAUCAAACAGGAUUAGAAACCCUAGUAGUCC
rnacentral:rRNA from 1 species